AUAUUGGACAAUGGGGGAAACCCUGAUCCAGCAAUGCCGCGUGAGUGAAGAAGGCCUUAGGGUUGUAAAGCUCUUUCGCCCGCGAAGAUCAUGACGGUAGCGGGAGAAGAAGCCCCGGCUAACUCCGUGCCAGCAGCCGCGGUAAUACGGAGGGGGCUAGCGUUGUUCGGAAUUACUGGGCGUAAAGCGUACGUAGGCGGAUGCGCAAGUUGGGGGUGAAAUCCCGGGGCUUAACCUCGGAAUUGCCCUCAAAACUGCACGUCUUGAGACCGAGAGAGGUAAGGGGAAUUCCUAGUGUAGAGUUGAAAUUAGUAGAUAUUAGGAAGAACACCAGUGGCGAAGGCGCCUUACUUGCUCGGUACUGACGCUGAGGUACGAA
rnacentral:rRNA from 1 species